CCCACACGGUUCUCGUCCACCUCUCUCGCUGCGUGUUUGUGCUAGUCACGGAAAUACGUAUACUGUUUGAUCGGCUGUGGUAGAAACGCGACUAAAAAUCGCGUGAAAAUUUUAUGCUUGGAGAAAAAUAUUAGUCUUACUGAACAUUCCUCCUCCGGAACCAAUUAAUAACUGCAGCCGUAUCAGUGA